rnacentral:lncRNA from 1 species
GUGGUUGCGGAUAGUAAGCAUAGAGUCCGUUAGUGGCACUGGCAGAUACGGAGUUCAUUAAAAGUAUGGUGGGUUUGCUCAUGGAUGUUGGAGGGCUUUCUCAAGAGGUGUCUCCGGGGGGGAGGCGGGUCCUGGACUGGGUGGUCAUUGGGGAGGUGCUUCUGAUCACUUCGAGGGGGAUCUCGAACGCUUCAGCCAUGGCGGUGUGCUUCUGUUUUUCUGCCUUUCGAACUGUUUUGGCUUCUUGCCGAGUUGCACUCAUGUCUUUCUCGUGAACACUUCUAGCCGGCGCCGUGCUUGGCCUCCCAUGGGCUGUGUCCUUCUU